AUGCGCCGGGCCGCCGCCGCCGCCACCGCCAGGACCAGGAUCGGGAUGGCGGCGGAGGAGGUCAGGCAGGCGUCCGCGGCCGCCACGGCGGCCGAGGCCGCGUCCGCGUCGGUGCCGGCCCCCGCGGGCUCCCGCUGGGCGCGGGUCUGGCCCUCCGCGCUGCGCUGGAUCCCCACCUCCACCGAACGCAUCAUCGCCGCCGAGAAGCGCCUCCUCUCCAUCCUCAAAACUGGGUAUGUCCAAGAACAAGUCAACAUUGGCUCUGCUCCACCUGGGUCAAAAGUAAAAUGGUUUAGGUCAUCAAGUGAUGAGCCAAGGUUCAUCAAUACAGUGACAUUUGAUAGCAAGGAGAAUGCUCCCACCCUUGUCAUGGUCCAUGGUUAUGGUGCUUCACAGGGGUUCUUCUUUAGAAACUUUGAUGCCCUUGCAAGCCGUUUCCGGGUGAUUGCCAUCGACCAGCUUGGUUGGGGUGGAUCAAGCAGACCUGACUUUGACUGUAGAAGUACUGAAGAAACCGAGGCCUGGUUCAUAGAUUCUUUUGAGGAAUGGCGCAAAGCAAAAAACCUCAGUAAUUUUAUAUUGCUUGGUCAUUCUUUCGGAGGAUAUGUUGCGGCAAAGUAUGCCUUACAGCAUCCUGAACAUGUUCAGCACUUGAUUUUGGUUGGUUCUGCUGGCUUUUCGUCAGAAACAGAUCAUAGUUCUGAGUGGUUAACCAAGUUCCGUGCAACGUGGAAAGGCAUGCUAGUAAACCAUCUUUGGGAGUCCAAUUUUACUCCUCAAAGAAUUGUGAGAGGAUUAGGUCCUUGGGGCCCAGAUUUAGUUCGGAGAUAUACCACUGCUAGGUUUGGCUCACAUUCAACAGGUGAAUUACUAACAGAAAAUGAGUCCUCCUUGCUGACAGAUUACAUUUACCACACUUUAGCUGCCAAAGCUAGUGGAGAGCUGUGCUUAAAACAUAUUUUUUCCUUGGGGGCAUUUGCAAGGAAACCACUUCUGCACAGUGCAUCCGACUGGAAAGUGCCAACUACUUUCAUAUAUGGUCAUGACGAUUGGAUGAAUUACCAAGGGGCGCAGCAAGCACGCAAGGACAUGAAAGUUCCUUGCGAAAUCAUCAGAGUCCCACAGGGAGGACAUUUUGUGUUUAUAGAUAACCCUGCGGGGUUCCACUCGGCGAUCUUCUACGCGUGCCGGAAAUUUUUAUCUGGAGAUGCAGGGGAGGGUCUCUCGCUUCCUGAUGGCUUGAUAUCUGCAUGA
rnacentral:rRNA from 1 species